UAACCACUAAAUUCACUUUAAGCCAAGUUUAUUUUAGAUACUGUACAUCUUUACAGAUAAACAUUAACAUUUUGUUAGGUUCAUUACAGCUGCUGUAAUCAUAUUACAAAUAAUGUGAUAAUGAAUCUCUUUGAACUCAGAGGUGGGUGGACACAGAAAAAGAUUACAGGUCAUCAAACAAGUAGGUGGACAUUUUUCAUGACCAUUUCAAAUACAGUAGCCUGUGUUUUAGUCUAUUUAGCCUGGAGGUGCUCAGCUCUGCUCCUGGAAACCACCACACCUUGGUAUUUUCUCCGUGGUUAUCAGAUCUGUGUUCAGGCGUCUGAUUGUGUUACACCCAGGUCCUCCUGGCCUAUGUGCAAGAACAUGCAAUUUGUGACAAGUCUGCAGUGCCACGUUUGUCCACAAGAUGGCCCUCGAAUUACAUUUCAAACUACUGAUCUGCCAAGUCUAUAACCUCAAUACUAACAGUGUAUUCAAAGAAAGACUGCCCACACACCCCGAGGAGCAUAAACAGUAAAUAUAUAUUUUUUUAAAAACACAGAAUGAGAAGUUAAAUAUUUCGAAAAAAUAAAUGUUGAAAUCAGGAGGCUAUUUUAAUCAUAUUCUGCUCUCCCACGUGUAUGUUCGACAAGGAUGACAUAUGGACCCGUCACAUGUUUCUCAUGAGACUGUGAAAUAACUCAGUUUUAUCACUCAGCAAUCAGCCCACGGAUGUUUACGAGCUGGUCUGAACAUUUCUGAGCCUCCGUCGUGGUCAGCAGUAGACUAUUCACAACAGUAGUGGCCUGUGAAUGCAAACAGCUUCUGCACUUGCUGGCGUGUUAUAUAAAAAAGGAAAUCAGAAAAGAAAAAUCAUGCAAAAAAACAAAAAACACACAAAAAAAAGGUCCUAUUGUGGUGUACUGACGCGCUGAAUAGGUGACGUGAGGCUGCCCACGCUGGCUUGCCAGCUGCAUGGACUUACACGUGACGAGCGGGAUAAAGUCGGCUCCCGUUCCCGGAGAGGUGGGGUCGGGGGAGGAAACGGGACCGCUAUAGGGGGAGAAAGAGUGAACACACACGGAUAAACAGGACUGCUAUAGCGGGAGAAAGCGUGAACACACACGGCUGGCCAGGCGUGCGGGAUUUAAGCGGAGUCCGCGCCAGUGCUCGUGCCCACGCAGACAUGAAUUCAGAAAUUAGGCUGCGCCCGGUCUUAGUUUGAAUCGCAAAUACUCCACGCAGAAUUAAAGCUGCGUUUAGCGUUUGUUCGAUUUUGACUUUAUUGAGAACAGCUGAUUUUGAGUAAUCUUGGAUGCAAAUUUCAUGAUGCAGAGUUAGUCUAAAGAUGCGUGUUAUGUAUUUUAAAACGAAUCUAGUUAGAUAUUUAGUAGCCCGUUAGUUUAUGUUGUUGAUGGUGUUUGUAGUCUACGUCUUCGGAGUGAUAGCUAUUAUUGAUUAGGAUGAAAUAUAAAAUAGAAAACUCCAUUUUGGUGCCAGUAAGAUAAGACUGCAGGUUAUAUAAGUCAUUAUAUAAGGAUGCGCAGCGUUGAGAAAGGGCGACAACUUGUUUAGCUGUGGAUGCAAAGACUAGGCAAACACAUGCAGCCUUUCCACAGGAAAAAAAAAAUUUAUUAAUACUUUUUAAAUGUAUGUCAACAAUAAAUUUUGACAAAAUAUAUAUACAAUCAAGCAACCUUCUGUUAGGUCCCAAAAUAAAAAACCCAAGUACCUUUUCCUAUACAAAACUAGUAUAUGGUUUAAACAUUGUACAUUCACUUUCCUCGCUUCUCAAAGAUUUCAGAAUUUAAAAUGUACAUAACUGUAAUUAUUUUACUGCUUGAAACAAAUAAAGGCAACAGCAUGAACAAAGAUCUGUCUUAAUUUGACCAGAAAUGAACAUAGAACAUGAUGCCAACAUCACCUACAACGAACCAGUCGGGAACUCCCAUCUGUCGCAAUGCAGACACACAACUUGCAGGUCAUGUAUCAAAAAUAUAGAUGUACACGUAGUAUAAACAAAUGCAUUACACAACAUGGUUACCUCACAAGUACUACUUGCACAACCAAUGAUAUAUUACAAUCUCUCGCUCUCGCUCUAAAAAAAAGAAAAAAAAAA